rnacentral:rRNA from 1 species
GACGAACGCUGGCGGCGUGCUUAACACAUGCAAGUCGAACGCAGUGGCGAACUGGUGAGUAACGCGUAAUCAACCUGCCCUUCAGAGGGGGACAACAGUUGGACACGACUGCUAAUACCGCAUACUGAAGGAGGGGAUUGCGUCUGAUUAGCUAGUUGGCGGGGUAACGGCCCACCAAGGCGAUGAUCAGUAGCCGGUCUGGGAGGGUGGACGGCCACAUUGGGACUGGGAACCGGCCCAGACUCCUACGGGAGGCAGCAGUGGGGAAUCUUCCGCAAUGGAAGAAAGUCUGACGGAGCAACGCCGCGUGAGUGAUGACGGCCUUCGGGUUGGAAAGCUCUGUUAAUCGGGACGCGGUACCGGAAUAGAAAGCCACGGCUAACUACGUGCCAGCAGCCGCGGUAAUUC